GAUCGGCCGCCGCGUAACAGGCGCGCAUGAACCUCGUCAGGUCCGGAAGGAAGCAGCGAUAAGUGCAGACGCCCGUGUCGCGGAUCGCUCCCGGUCAUG
rnacentral:SRP_RNA from 1 species